GACGAACGCUGGCGGCGUGCUUAACACAUGCAAGUCGAACGGAAAGGCCCUGCUUGCAGGGUACUCGAGUGGCGAACGGGUGAGUAACACGUGGGUGAUCUGCCCUGCACUUCGGGAUAAGCCUGGGCAACUGGGUCUAAUACCGGAUAGGAGCCAUUUUUAGUGUGAUGGUUGGAAAGUUUUUUCGGUGUAGGAUGAGCUCGCGGCCUAUCAGCUUGUUGGUGGGGUAAUGGCCUACCAAGGCGGCGACGGGUAGCCGGCCUGAGAGGGUGGACGGCCACAUUGGGACUGAGAUGCGGCCCAGACUCCUACGGGAGGCAGCAGUGGGGAAGAUUGCACAAUGGGCGCAAGCCUGAUGCAGCGACGCCGCGUGGGGGAUGACGGCCUUCGGGUUGUAAACUCCUUUCGCUAGGGACGAAGCUUUUUGUGACGGUACCUAGAUAAGAAGCACCGGCUAACUACGUG
rnacentral:rRNA from 1 species